CUCCUGGCUUGGGAAUGUUCGUGACGGUUACAACUUACGAUGAGGAGGUAUUAUUAUCAAAGUUAUAUGGCCCCCAAGGAACAUUCUAUUUCACUUCACACUCACCUGGCGAACACAUCAUUUGCUUAGAAUCUAAUUCGACAAGGCUUGUGUCAUUUGGAGGGAGUAAGCUGCGGAUCCACUUAGACAUUCGCGUUGGAGAACAUGACCUUGAUGCAGCCAUUGCUCAAGCAAAGGACAAAGUUAAUGAAGUUAGCUUCAAGCUUGAACAUCUAAUCGAGCAAAUUGAGCAAAUAGUCAAAGAACAAAACUAUCAAAGGGACCGAGAAGAAAAAUUUCGAGUGACCAGUGAAGACACAAACAGCAAUGUCUUAUGGUGGGCUUCUGCGCAAACGCUGGUCUUUAUCUCCGUUGGAAUUUUCCAAAUGAAGUACCUUAGAGACUUCUUUAUAGCUAAGAAACUUGUUUAAAAUGUUAAUAAAGGCAAAUAACUGCCUCCUAAGUUGCAUAAUGUCUGCGUUAAUAAAUCAAAAUA